UACAGAGGGUGCGAGCGUUAAUCGGAAUUACUGGGCGUAAAGGGCGCGUAGGCGGUUAGUUAAGUUAUAUGUGAAAUCCCUGGGCUUAACCUAGGAACUGCAUGUAAUACUGGCUAGCUAGAGUGCAGUAGAGGGUAGUGGAAUUUCCGGUGUAGCGGUGAAAUGCAUAGAUAUCGGAAGGAACACCAGUGGCGAAGGCGGCUACCUGGACUGACACUGACGCUGAGGCGCGAGAGCGUGGGGAGCAAACAGG
rnacentral:rRNA from 1 species